rnacentral:rRNA from 1 species
CGGGGUGAGUAAUGCUUGGGAAUCUAGCUUAUGGAGGGGGAUAACUACGGGAAACUGUAGCUAAUGCCGCGUAAUAUCGAAAGAUUAAAGUGUGGGACCUUCGGGCCACAUGCCAUAGGAUGAGCCCAAGUGGGAUUAGGUAGUUGGUGAGGUAAAGGCUCACCAAGCCGACGAUCUCUAGCUGGUCUGAGAGGAUGACCAGCCACACUGGGACUGAGACACGGCCCAG